AGAGUUUGAUCAUGGCUCAGAACGAACGCUGGCGGCAGGCCUAACACAUGCAAGUCGAACGCCGUAGCAAUACGGAGUGGCAGACGGGUGAGUAACGCGUGGGAACCUUCCCAAUGGUACGGAAUAGCCCAGGGAAACUUGGAGUAAUACCGUAUACGCCCGUAAGGGGAAAGAUUUAUCGCCAUUGGAUGGGCCCGCGUCGGGUUAGCUAGUUGGUGAGGUAACGGCUCACCAAGGCGACGAUCCGUAGCUGGUCUGAGAGGACGAUCAGCCACACUGGGACUGAGACACGGCCCAGACUCCUACGGGAGGCAGCAGUGGGGAAUAUUGGACAAUGGGCGCAAGCCUGAUCCAGCCAUGCCGCGUGAGUGAUGAAGGCCUUAGGGUUGUAAACCUCUUUCAGGAGGGACGGAGCUACUCGGGUUAAUACCCCAGAGGGUGACGGUACCUCCAGAAGAAGCCCCGGCUAACUACGUGCUAGCCGCCGCGGUAAUUC
rnacentral:rRNA from 1 species